GAACGCUAGCUACAGGCUUAACACAUGCAAGUCGAGGGGCAGCAUUUUAGUUUGCUUGCAAACUGAAGAUGGCGACCGGCGCACGGGUGAGUAACACGUGAGUAACCUGCCCCCGAGAGCGGGAUAGCCCUGGGAAACUGGGAUUAAUACCGCAUAGUAUCGAAAGAUUAAAGCAGCAAUGCGCUUGGGGAUGGGCUCGCGGCCUAUUAGUUAGUUGGUGAGGUAACGGCUCACCAAGGCGAUGACGGGUAGCCGGUCUGAGAGGAUGUCCGGCCACACUGGAACUGAGACACGGUCCAGACACCUACGGGUGGCAGCAGUCGAGAAUCAUUCACAAUGGGGGAAACCCUGAUGGUGUGACGCCGCGUGGGGGAAUGAAGGUCUUCGGAUUGUAAACCCCUGUCAUGUGGGAGCAAAUUAAAAAGAUAGUACCACAAGAGGAAGAGACGGCUAACUCUGUGCCAGCAGCCGCGGUAAUACAGAGGUCUCAAGCGUUGUUCGGAAUCACUGGGCGUAAAGCGUGCGUAGGCUGUUUCGUAAGUCGUGUGUGAAAGGCGCGGGCUCAACCCGCGGACGGCACAUGAUACUGCGAGACUAGAGUAAUGGAGGAGGAACCGGAAUUCUCGGUGUAGCAGUGAAAUGCGUAGAUAUCGAGAGGAACACUCGUGGCGAAGGCGGGUUCCUGGACAUUAACUGACGCUGAGGCACGAAGGCCAGGGGAGCGAAAGGGAUUAGAUACCCCUGUAGUCCUGGCAGUAAACGGUGCACGCUUGGUGUGCGGGGAAUCGACCCCCUGCGUGCCGGAGCUAACGCGUUAAGCGUGCCGCCUGGGGAGUACGGUCGCAAGAUUAAAACUCAAAGAAAUUGACGGGGACCCGCACAAGCGGUGGAGUAUGUGGCUUAAUUCGAUGCAACGCGAAGAACCUUACCUGGGCUUGACAUGUAAUGAACAACAUGUGAAAGCAUGCGACUCUUCGGAGGCGUUACACAGGUGCUGCAUGGCCGUCGUCAGCUCGUGUCGUGAGAUGUUUGGUUAAGUCCAGCAACGAGCGCAACCCCUGUUGCCAGUUACCAGCACGUGAAGGUGGGGACUCUGGCGAGACUGCCCAGAUCAACUGGGAGGAAGAUGGGGACGACGUCAGGUCAGUAUGGCCCUUAUGCCCAGGGCUGCACACGUACUACAAUGCCCAGUACAGAGGGGGCCGAAGCCGCGAGGCGGAGGAAAUCCUGAAAACUGGGCCCAGUUCGGACUGUAGGCUGCAACCCGCCUACACGAAGCCGGAAUCGCUAGUAAUGGCGCAUCAGCUACGGCGCCGUGAAUACGUUCCCGGGUCU
rnacentral:rRNA from 1 species